GGGAACAUCGACGAGCUCCUGGAGCUGGACACGGAGGAGGAGCGGGCCAGGAAGCUGCAGGGCAUCCUGCGGUCGUGCGGGAACAGCACGGAGGGCUUUGUGCGGGAGCUGCUCCUCAAGCUGCGGGGGCUCCAGAAGCAGCAGGCGCUGCAGCAGCCCAGCCUGGACGAGCGGGAGCUGCAGGACCACGUGUGACCCCGACCUGCCCUGCUACAGCCUCCGCUCCCCAGAUUUGGCCCCGGCAAGGAACGAAGGGGGCCCGUCUGCCCGCCGAACGCCACAUGCGUGCAUGGCCCCGUGCACAUCCCGGACCCGGACCUGGAAUAAAGCCUCCGGGUUGCA